CCAGUUACACUACUUUGUAAAGGCAUUACAAUUCAAAGUUGUGUGUGCUGAUAUGUUCAUUGGUCAACAACAUUUCUACCAUUACAUUUGCCUGCCUGUGCAGCAUCUGGUUUUUAAAUAAAAACAUUACAUUACAUCCAAUCUGAUAGGUAAUUUUGUGUGUCACCAUUGUUCCAUAUGCCCAAAAUUCACACCAGCAAAGUUUUUAAAGAAUCAUCACACUAAAUUUUAAUGUAAAAUUAAUCAUUUUGCUACUUACUCCACUGAAGGGGUCAUUUAUGCCAUUACAUGUCCCUGUUCACUAAUGUACAUAGGCCAAACCAGCAGGAAAGUCAAACUCCACAUUAUAGAACAUAAAAGCAAGAUCGGGAAACAUUUUAUUUAUUUGAUUUUCUAUAAGCAUUUUGAAGAUUUAAACCACAGUCCUGAAUCACUCUGGGUCCAGAUUUUAGCAGUCAUUACAUCUUCCAAGGGCAUUGAUUUCCAGAUGAAGCUCCUACAAUGUGAAUCUUUUUGGAUUUUCACACUCCAAACAGAACAUCCUAAAGGGUUGAACAAUAAUAACUUUUAUGAUUUUUUUUUGUAAAAAUCGGAGUUAUUCCUUUAAAUGUGAUUCAUGAAUAACAGCAGCUACAUUACAUUGCAAUCACCUGCCCGAUGUGCUUGCUAUAUGAACAGUGGGAUUAGUUACUCGGCUUCCUACUUACAUUGGAAUCAAACUGGGAGCAGAGUAUGAAUAUUAAGAAGAACUUUCUGCGCAUAAGGCAAGUGUCUUGAGACCUCCAUCCCAGACAAUCAGGGGCUGAAGGGUGAAGAUGCAUCUGGGAAACCUUGUGCCAGCGAGGCAACACCAUCUUGGUUAAAGAAGUACAAAGAGAAAAGGAAUGGCAAAGAAAGGGGAUGAAGAAAGUAAGAAGGAGAGCUUUACUUCAAAUAAUGAUAAGGAAGGGGUGGAAAGCAGCCUUGGCAUUUCAUCUCGGGAAGAAAGAGACAAAGGAUUGCAUGCCAGUUUUCUGAACUUGCCAAUGUUCAGAAAGGAAUUCAGGCCUGAUUUGCCCUGGAGCCCAUUCAUUUGUCAUGUUAGCAGCCUAUGAUAUUCAUAGAACUCUCAUCCAGCACCACAUUUCAAAAGCAUUGAUUUUUCCUCCUGUCAGCUUUUUUUUCACUGCCCAGCUUUCACUCCAUAUAUAGAAACAGGCAAUACUGUUUGCCUGGGUGAUUCUGAUUUUGGGAUCCAGUGAUGUAUCUUUACACUUGAGGGUCUAAUUUAGUGCUUUCAUAGCUGCCCUUCCAGCUAUGAUUUCUUGACUUGAGUUUCCAUUUCAAUUCAUGACUGGUCUUUUAACUAUUUGAUGUCUUCUUAUUCUAUUAAAUUCAUGUAAAUCACCUGUGACCAUUACUAUUUUUUCUUAAUGAUUAGUUGUGGACAUACAUUUCCAUUUUCUUCCUUAAUUUUCAAAAACGGUUGUUCUAAGUCUUUGCUAUUUUCUUUUUUUUAAAUUCAAAAUGUAUUUUAUAAACACAUAUUUAUGUUUCUCAGCAAACAAAAUGAUGACUCAAGAAAAAUUCUUCCAAGGUUUUCAUUGAAACCACAAAUGUUAAAGCUAUUUAUUUUGUUUAUUUUUAUUUAUUUUGUUUAUUUUGUUUAACUUUGUUAAAGUUAUUUAUCUUUGUUCAGCACCUUUUGUUUCUUUCAACAUUUCUUGCCAAUUGCUCUCCAGGUAAGAAAAGCAUCUGCCAGGUGUCUCAUUGAGUUGGCCAAUUCUGGGUUAGUAUGCAUCACCACCAUUUCAUAAGCCAUCUAUGUAGCCUGCACUGAUAGUUUUUCCAUAUUUUCCAAUAGCUUUUCUAAAUCCCUAUUUUCAGAUCCUCAAGCUGUUUUACUAUGUUGUCAUAAUAUAAGUCUUUGCUAUUUGGCACUACCUUUCUGUGGUUGUGGGACUGAGUGCUCCAGUAAGAAGCUAUGCUACUGACAGAACUGCUGCUGGCAGGCUCUCCCAAGUCAGACAAGCCUUUGCAGAGUAUACCAAACAGGUACGAGGCAGCAGGAGUAGUGAGGUCUGUUUGUAUGUGUGACACUGGCAGAGGAUCUGUCAAAGAUAACACAGUGGUGCCUUUGCUGACUCCGAAGGAGCCAGUUCUGCACAAAAGAAGGCAAUAGUAAAUAAUUCCUGAAAAUUUUUUAUUUCUAAAAUACUAUCACACUAGCAUAAUGCACCAACAGGAUUAUGGUCUAAAUACCUGUACGUUCUGUUGAAAGGCUCCUACUACUGGAAGCCAAACUUUAUUGGGGUCAUUCCAAUAAUUUAAAAUCGGGGUAAAGACUAAAAUAAAAAGGGCCUGGGAAACAACUGAAUGGAGACAGAGGAAACCAGACUUGGUUUAGGUGUAAGAAAAUAAUGGGACUUCUUUGAAGGGUUUCAAGUCCCACACUCCUAGUUUAUAAAUAUGGGCAUUUUGUAAAGAUUUCAUAAAAUGUGAAAUGUUGAGGGGCACUGCUGACCAUCCAACACAGCAACAACAAACAUAAGCUUGUCCAAAGACCUAAAUAAUUCAGCAGUUAAAGAUAAACAAUGUAAAUAAAACGAUUAAGACACAAGAAGGCGUGCCAAACAAGAAUGCGAACACUGCUAAUAAGUAGUAAAGGUAAAGGUUUUCCUCUGACGUUAAGUCCAGUCAUGUCUGACUCUGGGGGUUGGUGCUCAUCUCCAUUUCUAAGCCAAAGGGCCGGCGUUGUCCGUAGACACCUCCAAGGUCAUGUGGCCGGCAUGACUGCAUGGAGCGCCGUUACCUUCCUGCCGGAAUGGUACUUAUUGAUGUACUCACAUUGGCAUGUUUUCGAACUGCUAGGUUGGCAGAAGCUGGAGCAACAGCGGGCGCUCACUCCGUUCCCGGGAUUUGAACCUGGGACCUUUCGGUCUGCAAGUUCAGCAGCUCAGUGCUUUAACACACUUCGCCACCGGGGCUCCUUGCUAAUAAAUAUAAAGGCUAAUUUCAACAUAGCAGCCAUCAAGCAAGAACACUAGGCAGAGCCUCAGCAAUUCCCUCAAAACUGGAGCAGAAACAAAUUGUUCUACAAAUAUUGACCCUCGAUGUAUAGGGUGAUGAAGGUAACAGAUCAGUCAAUUUUGGGCUUUUGCCUUUCCUUGCAAAAGUACUAAAAUACUCCUGGAAGAAGCAGAAAGCCCAGUGAUUAAACAUAUGUAGGCUCAGCAAAGUUAAUAAAAGGGGAAGAUGGAGCACAAGCAUAGACACAAUAUCUUUACAGAUUGACUUAAAAAACAAAAAUCUAGUGAAAGAUCUCCAACAGACUGGUCACUUGCUCUUGAACCAAUGGAUUCUAAACUUUCAGCUCUCACAAGAAGUAUAUAUGGCAUGGAGGAAACUGCAGUCACAGCUUUACAGGAAGGCUCAUCAAAUAUGGUAGAAUUCAUAUGCUAGAACAGUGUGACUUUUAGAAAUAAAAAACUUUCAGGACAAUAAAUAAAUAAAUAUGCUAGAACAGUGUGGUCCAACCCGCAGCCCAUGGUUACAAAAAAAAUUCAUUUUUGUUGGCCCUUGCCCUGCU